rnacentral:rRNA from 1 species
UACGGGGGGUGCGAGCGUUGUCCGGAAUCACUGGGCGUAAAGGGCGCGUAGGUGGCGCGGGCAGUCAACGGUGAAAGUUCGGGGCUCAACCCUGAAUCGGCCGUCGAUACUCCCGGGCUUGAGCACUGUAGAGGCUAAUGGAAUUCCGGGUGUAGCGGUGGAAUGCGUAGAGAUCCGGAAGAACACCGGUGGCGAAGGCGGUUAGCUGGGCAGUUGCUGACACUGAGGCGCGACAGCGUGGGGAGCAAACAGG